rnacentral:rRNA from 1 species
CAACUUGAGAGUUUGAUCCUGGCUCAGAAUGAACGCUGGCGGCAGGCCUAACACAUGCAAGUCGAACGAAGUCUUCGGACUUAGUGGCGGACGGGUGAGUAACGCGUGGGAACAUACCCAAAGGUACGGAAUAGUCUUGGGAAACUGGGGGUAAUACCGUAUGUGCCCUUAUGCUGUAGUGGUGUAAGGGGAAAGAUUUAUCGCCUUUGGAUUGGCCCGCGUUGGAUUAGGUAGUUGGUGGGGUAAUGGCCUACCAAGCCGACGAUCCA